AUCCUCCAGUUUUCUUCCCCACCAGAUCUAAACUCUAGUGUAGUGGUUACAAAAGGAGGAAAAGUAAAAUUAUAGCUUGUCUGCAAUGCUUUUCUGACACACGGACUAGUUUCAAACUUUU
rnacentral:snoRNA from 1 species